CUCCCUACUUUUCUCCACUUCCUGGUUGUGCGGAAGACGCACGUGUGUGUAUGUGCUGUGUUUUGUUUCAACAAUUGGGCAGCGGGGAAUGAUCGGCUCAUAUUAUCAGCCCGGGACAGCCCAGCUUAAAUCAGAGAGCUCCCACAAAGCUCCGACAGCUUCCUGUCGGACACAGCGAGAAGAUCCGGAGACCGAGCAGAGCUCUUCUUGGCUAGCUAAGAUCCACAAUGACGGGGGUGCGUAGAUCUCUGAGGUUGACUCUGUCCGAUGCCAGAGUUGAGGCUUUGUCAUCGCAGUCGGGCACAGUUGUCCUGGAAGAAGCCCCUCCAACCUGUGAUGAGGAAGUAUCGCGGCACCACGAGUCCUCUUUGGGACAGCGGAAUGAAGCAUCGGAUGAUCCAGCUGCAUCAGAGAGUGAUUCAGGAGACAGCCUCUUCAUAACUCAGAAUGUAGCACCUGAGACUGUCAGGUCACAGAGACAGCGUCGCAACACUGUUAGGUCAGAGCCGGCAUCUGCCACAGGUCUAGAGGACAGUGACGACAGCAGCGCAUCGUCUCACUCCAACACUGAAUCCAACACUGCCAGAGGAAGGAAAAGAAAACAAUAUAACCUGCCAGUGUUCAGUUUCUCUUUUCUCCAAGGGAGAGAGUCGAAGCCCAGGCGCAGGGCAUCAUUUGUCCUGCAGAACAGAGCGCUUCAUCAUUAUUCGAUGGGAGGCUUCUUUAAGUGUGUCAGAGAGCGGUGGCAGAGCAAUCAAAGAGAUGACCUGCAGUUGUCUUCACAAACAGAGGACAUGGAGGGGAGGCACAUAGCUCCACUGUCAGAAGGAGAAGAAGAAUGCUCAGACUGUCCGGACAUCAAAGUGGUGAAAAGGACUCGUUUUGUUGCACCUUCAAAAAAAAAGCACCCGCAACUGUGGUACACUCCAGAUAAAGAGGCUGGUGAUGGAAAACAAGAGAGGAGGAACGCUGGUAAUCCCAAACAAGAAACGUCACAAGAAAGACAAAGGAAAGUUUUGCAAAAAAGACCAGCUAAAGCACCUAAAUCAAGAGUUACAGCAUCGUCUUCAGACACAGACAGCUCCGAAAGCGGGGAGACUUCUCACAGAGGACUGGCAGAGAGGAAGACAAGUGAUAAACAAGUAACAAGUAAUGAGAGUGUCGCGGCCCAAACUGAAACAUCAGAAGCAAAGAGACGUCUCACCAGAGAACACAAAGGAAUUCUAGCUGAGGAAAAAGAGCGUGAGAAGACACUGUGUGAGGACAGUGAUGCUACAAUUUGUGAGGGUCUUGAACAGGAAAGUCCAAGCAAACGCACACUCACUGGCAGAGAGGUACCAAAUGUUACAGAGCCUCAAGUGGAUGUUUUCCAUACAGACAAUCUGUUGCCAACAGAACAGGAAGAGGACGAACCUGAAAGCCAAAGUCUUCUCCAAAGUCUCCCAGACCUUAUAAGUGACACUAAUGAUGAUGAGCUAAGUAAUGAAACAAGGGUGGAGAAGAAGAAGAAGAAAACAAGGGGAGAUCAUGAAAGUGCAGAGGAAGGGAACGGUCAGAGUCAGGAAGCGCCAGAGGGGCUACACUCUGCAGCAUCUGUAAAUAUGGAGGCAGAGGAGGCUCCCCAGCUGUUUGAGGACAAUCCAGCAGAGUUUCCAGCAUGGCAGACCAUUAAGAAGCCAACAUUUAGUGAUGAAACUUUAUCAUAUGAUAACAUCACACUGGCACAGGAGAAGACGUACAGUCCUGAUUCAAAACAAAUGAAGAAUAGAAAGAAGAAUAAUGCAGCAGCACGAGAGAAUGUUAUACAGGAGGUGAAUUUAGGAUCACCAUCUGAUGUGAGAUUUGAGGAGGAUUCUCUGUUUUCAGUGACACAUAACACGGUGAAUGUUAGGAAGAAAAAGAAAAAGAAAGAAAUAAGUGUUGAGGAUGUUGAACAGAUACAGUCCAGUGUCAUUUCAGAAUCUGUAACUGACUAUGGUGAGACACACAGGAAAAAGAAAAAAAGGAAAAAAGAAAAGAUGUUUUUAAAUAUGGAAGUGUAUCAAGAAGAGGAUGCACUGAAUGUGACGUUAGAAGAACAAAGACAUAGUUUAGGAAAUACUGGAGCUUCUCAGCGCCCAACAGAACCCAGUCCUGUAAAGAAAAGAAAAAAGCAGAAAGAGAAGCAGCUGUUAGCUUCUCACAAUGAUGCUGAAGCUGGAGCAGUAGAUUGUAAGGAUGUGAACUUCUCUAAUGAUGGAACCUCGGGAGGAAGUACAGGACAAGAAGUAAAGAAGAAGAAAGCCAGGGAAAGUAUCUCUGAAGGGGGAGCUGUUUCUUGCAAUCUUGAAGAAAAAGUUAAUGAAGCAGAAACUUCCCAGAAAAUAGAGGAUGGCCCUGAAAACCAAGGUGCUGAACUGUUGUCUAAGAAGAAGAAGAAGAAGAAGAAGAAAAAAAAAGAAGAGAGUGAAAUAAUUGGCAGAAAUGUCUCAGAAGAUGUAAAAAAAAACGAUGAUUCAGUGUCUGUGCAGAAAAAGGAAAAGAAGAGGACCUCUUCCUUCCUCGUUGCUGAUGCAGGGGAAAACAAUGCUCAAAUGCACCAGGAACAAAGUUCUCCGUGUUUAAAAUCUAUAGCUGCUCCUGUCUGGGGUGCAGAGAAGCCUGCUGUCAGCGCUAGUGACUUUGAAACCGAAUCAACAGAAAUCACUAGAAAUUCAGAGGCAGCUAAUGAUGGGGUCAGGAAAAAGAAAAGGAAGAGGAAAAUGUCAGUAGUGCGAGAGAGUAUGGAGAACGAUUUUGACAAACAAGACGAAACUUGCCAGAGUGUGAUAUAUGAAAUCACUGACCCAGGGGUAAAUACUGUAAGGCAAAAGAAAAAGAAGAAAAAAGUCAAAUCCCCUGAUGACGUUUUGAUUGAGGGGAAAUUGUCAGCUGAAUGUACAGAAAUGGAGACCCAAAGAAAAAAGGAAACAAGUGACCCCAGCUUCACAUUCUGCAGUCCUGUGUUGUUACAGUCUGAACUGUUUCCGUUGCACUGUAUCAGUAAAAGCAAGAAGAAAAAGCCCAAGAAGAACCUUUUUAAUACAAGAGAGGACUUCCUCACUGAUUGUUAG
ensembl:lncRNA